rnacentral:tRNA from 1 species
GGGGGUAUAGCUCAGUGGUACAGCAUUCGACUGCUAAUCGAGAGGUCUCCGGUUCAAACCAAGGUGCCCUCU